AACCCUUCAGGCUCUGAAGACUCUGGACUGGGCCCUGGAUCAAGCCUUCUGUGAUGGAAGUGAAGGAAGGCAGGGGUCUGUUUGUGGCAAAGACAGAGGGGAACAGUGUGGAGGAGGCUGUUGGGUUCUGGUGGGCACAGUUUUGGGAUGAUGAGUCGCAUAAAUACGCCUCUAUAUCUCUGGACCUUGGAUGAAAAUAUCUGGGAGCAGAGAGACUGAGGAAGGCAGUUAAAUUGAAGAUAUAGCACAGUAUAAUCUCAUCCAACAUGAAAUAACAUUGACUGAAAGAAAAGAAAGUAGCACAUCUAUUUUGCUUGGCUUUCUCUCUUAUAGGAUUUACUUUCUCAGCAAUGCAAAUCAAAUCAGAUACAUCCAUGAAACUGUUUACUGCUUCCAACCAAAACUGGAAGGGCAGCAGGAGCUCUCUGCAGCUGAGAUCUGACCCAGGGAAGUGCUCAGCACCAGAAAGGGACAGCACAACACAGUCUUCACUGGAGCUGACCUCGGCUCAGAUAUAUAUGACACCUAUAUAUAUGCUCUUCUUUGAAACUCUACAGUAAAGUGGGAUACAUCAUUACUAGAAGAAGUGCAAGUUUAGAAAAGAAGUGGCUGGAAGAUAUAGGAAAAAAAAAAAAAAGGUAAGAACUUAAUUACAUUGAGAGAGAAAAUGUCUCAGUGGUCUGGUUCCUCUCUUUUCAAAGGAUCUUCCUGCUCCUCACAUCCGAGGAGCUCUUUGGGUCAAAAGCCCUGACAGCAGCAAUGAUCCAUGGACUCCACAUAGACAAGUGUCCUUGGGACUGUCCUGGGAGCCAAAAGUCAAGCUGUGAGGCCAAGCUCCUCCUCUGCCUUCUAUUCACCCACACGAAAGGUAACAUUGAUGUAUUCAGCUCUUGUUUCUUGUCCCCAGCUUCCUCUGACUCAUACAUGGGGAUGCAAACAAAACCACCUCCACAUUCCAGUGGAGCUGUGCCUAGGAGGGAGCAGGUAAUACCUAAGGCACUGGAGUAACUCAGAACCAUAAGCCUGCCCCUUCCAAAGCCAGGCUUUCAGGCUCCUGAAGCUGCCAGGCAAAGCCACAGCCUGGCCUGUGUGCACAUCUUAGUACCUCCCUCAUUCUGGUUGCAGAUAGCUGUCUGGGAUUGCUUACUGAGUCAAUUAAUGAGAUACAGCAAAAGUGUGAGCGAGAGCGUAUUGAGUAAUUCAGGGGUUGAAAGGCUGUACUGAAACACAUCUGGUGAUAAUUAAGUUUAACUGUACAAUUUUAUCUGGCCAAACAUAAUUACUUACGACAAAAUGUAUGUCAGUACAGCUGAUUGACACAUACACUGUAUUACUAUGGCAUGCAGAGAACAAGGCUUAGGUCAAUUGCAGGAAAAAGUAAGAAAGCAUCCUUACAGGGAUGGAGCGGGACCAAAAAAAAAAAUAAAUUGGCAAUUAACUUCACAGAGUUUAACACUCAUUUUUUAGAAAAAGGUAUGGCCCAACUUAGAGCUAGGUUUUCUUUUAUUUUCUUCUGGAUUGUCUCUUGUGUCAGGUUAAAUGCAGGUGUAACACAUAGUUAUAGUGAUUGCAGCAUAGUCCUUUAUUGUGGUUAAUGCUAUGAGUGGAAAGAGUUACUGAAAAGAGACAGAAAAAUGGUGGCUUUAGUUUGGUUUUAGUGUGGGCAUGACAGGAAUCAAUAGAAGUGUCUGAUGGAAUCCACAGGAGCUGGUGAUUUGCCAGUGUUAAACAAAUGCUGAAGCUGACUAGAUUUUGUCUAGAAGUGCUACCUAUACAUCCUGCUUCACAAGACAAGUCUCCAAACAACCAAAAAAAGAAAAAUCUCCUUGAAAUGUUGUUUGUCACUGAGAUAAGCUUAGUUGGUUCAAGCCUGGUGCUAAUAAUACCAAGGCUGUAGAUUCAAUCUCUCUAUGGGCCACUCACUUUAGAGCUGGACUUGAAGACUUGAAGGUCCUUAUUGGUCCCUUGCAACUCAGAAUAUUCUGUGACUCUGUGAAUAACGUUUGUAACCACUGCUACUUUAAUGGUCUUAUCUCUCCCUCUAUGUACUGCUGCACUGACCUAUUACUCCAGGAAGGGCUGCAGCUGUGCAGCCCCUUGUUUGUGGGUGUCUGGCACAAAGAAACUUGAAGAUUUGCUCCAGAAUCUAUCAGGUAUUGAAGAAAGGAAAUUCUUAACUGAAAAUUGCUUUUCACUUCAUUUUUCCUUGCUAGGAAAGGCUGUACUUCCCAUAGGUGCUGUAAUUCACCACAGGCCCUACAAGGAUGCCAGUUUUACUGAAAAUUCAAUCUUUUUACUACAAUAGAAGGCCAGCUGAGCUGCCAUCCACAGCAGCACUCAGCUAACCCAGUGCCAAUAGUGUGUGAUUCAUUGAUUAUUAUCAAAUGAACUCUCACUUCUAACUUCAGAAAAGAAUUAGACAGAGAUGAAACUCACUGUAAGGGCAGCUGAGCAGACUUAGUUGUAAUGAUGAAAAGGAACAACUACAACUCUCAGCUGUACCAAGAAACACUUGGGUCUAUGCUGCUUUUACUUAAAUAUUAUUUAGACUUCUGCAAUUUUGUUUACAGCAUAUCUCACCAUAAGGUGCCAUAUGGCAGUAGGGGAGUGGGUGCUAAUAAGAGCACAUGUGAGACAACUGUGUCUCUGUGUACCCCCUCCCCAGCCAUCCCAGGAGCACUCAGAGUUGAGACUUUAGCCUGGAGGCAGCUGAAGUUUGCUCAAGACUUUUCCUGGUUUCCACUCAGGUGUUUGCGUGGCCAUCUGACACAUUAAUAAAUUAAUGAACAUCAAGAUAAUUCCCAGCCUGUGUUUUUCAGGAAGAUGCAUCACCGGGAUGCUUUGUGGUACUGUUGAUGACUGCAGAGCACCUGGAGGCUUUGGAUUUUGGAUUGUCACUGCAGGUAGGGAUGUCUCCUGCCAUGAGACUGGGCUGCAGGAGCUGCACCCUGGCAGGGCAGCUGAGCAUGGGGAAGGCUGGGACUCUGUCCUGUCCUUAAUUUCCCAUUCUAUCAGCUUGGUGGCUGUGCCCAUGCUUUGCUUUCUGCUCCUCAGAGCCUGCCAGGUAUUGCACACAUGUGCAUACCCAAGACACUCCACACAUCAGCCUAAGGUGAGCUCUGUGACCCCUGUGUUUGCCAUGGCUUGAAAUCAUCUGUUAAUAAUGUUAAUUCUGUUGGAGGCUUAACUGGGUGUCCUACACACACACACAAAUGAUGAAAAUAUUUCAUCAUUUUUCAAGGAAGGAAGAGUUCAAAAUGGAGAUAAAUCAACAUCCAAUGGAAGGGAUAUUGAUUAAUUUCCUCACCUUUGGACUGAAUACCUCCCCCCCAGCAAAAAGCUAUGAAAGGGAAGCCAUUGUUCAUCUGAAACAAACAAGGCUCAAUAAAUCUUAAUCCUGCUGAAAGAUAGUUCUGAGAGGAGACCAAAAGGAUAUGGCUUAGCAUUCCUGCAACCAAACAUGACAUUAUCUUUUUCUUUUAUCCCAAGUACUUUUCUCUAGUACUUGGGCUGUGUUUUUAAUGAAAAAUUAAUUAAAUGUGGAACAAAAUUCUCAUUUUAAUAGCAAAAAUGUAUUCAUAUUCUUCCAUUUGUUCCAUUUAAACAGCGGAGUUCCACAUUAGUCUCAUUGAAUAUCUGACCUAUGGCAGUAGCAGAAGUAAAAGAAUGCUUUAAGAGCUUCCAGCAGAGUAUCUCUGGUUCAAGGAAUCUGGUAGGGCUGUAAUCCACAAAGUACUGAGCUAUGGGUACGUGUUCUGCUGAAGACCAAGGCCUGUCUCAGGUGCUUAGUGCUGAGGGAAUGUGUCAGUAACCCCCAGAUUUGGGCCUCUAGUACAUGCAGGACAUAUUUCCUCUGAAUAUUUUAUGCAACCCUUUUAAAAUGUAUUCAUUUUGCACAAAUUCCUCUUGUAUUUGCUUCCUAUGAAUAUUUAUGGAGGUGGCAGCGCUGCUGUGCAAAAUGUGCAUGGAAGGUAUUUUAAAUUACUCUCUGGGCCAGUCACACUGGCACUACACUGUCCCUCACUGCCCAUCAGGCCAGGGCAGGAGGGGCUCAUGGGGGAGCUGGGAGCCUCCUUGGGCAGCAGAAGUUUCUUGUCAAAUGCACAUAAAUGUUCUCAACAACUCCAUGUACCCUGGCAGAGAGCACCAAGCCUGCCCUUCUGGCUGCAGCAUCAGCAGGCAGUGACAAAGGAAUGACAGAACCACUGCAAUCAGACAUGAGCUGGGGCUGGGUGUGUUGGGAGCUGCCCCAAGAAGAGCCUUAGAAGCUUUCUUCUGUAACUGCUUCAAGACACUGGCAAUGUAAAACUAUCUCAAGUGUGUCUCAGAUUGACACACAGAAAAAGUUGUGUUCAGUAAUCCACAGUAAUUAUUUUCUUGCUGCUACUCAGUCCUUGUUAUUCGGUCAAUUAGGGAAUGGCCUGUGUGGGAAAAAUUGCUUUUUUAUAUCAAGCCAUAUAAUGCUUGAUUAUAAUAAUUAUGUAUAUAUAUAUAUAUAUAUAUAUAUAUAUAAUUAUAAUAAUGCUCAUAUAGAGCAUGAUGGCAUCACUUCUUCUAUAUAUGUUAUAUAUAAAAAUAUGUGCGUGAGUAUAGCAUUUGCGUAUUUUAUAAAUACCAAAAUAAUUAAUAACUUGCCUUAUUAGUGCAUGUAUUUUUGAAAUAUGCAUUUCAGACAUACAGUUUGACAUCUGCGCUCCAUAAAACACACAUACUCAUGUAAUCUAAAAUCAUAUAGAAAUUACAUAAUUAUAUCUAAUGUAUCUAUAGGGUUUCUUCUCAUUCACCUCAAAUUCCUUUCUUUUAUGUAUCUCCUAUAUCUUUGUUACCUGUGACCAGAAAGAAAUUUGGUGGUAAUUUAUUAAGUCUGCAUUUGAUUACAUUUUAAAUUUUGUUUUAUAUAUACAUGUGCCUAUAACAUUAUAUAUCAUACAUUGCACACAUCAUACAUACUGUAAUGUGGAUAUUUCAAUAAUGUAAUAUUUCAAUAUUUCAAUGUAAUAUUUCAAUAAGUUAAUGUGGUCCAUUAUCAUGCAUCAGAAUAUUCUAUUCCAUAUGCCACAUAACAUAUAUUACAGAUAGCAUUCUGUAAAUUGUUAUGUUAUAGUAUGUAACAUGUGACCUACAACAUGCCUCAUGCAAUAUGAUGUUUAUCAUGUAUGGUCUGUGCAAGCUUCACAACUGCUGUUAUCUACCAUAAUUAAUAUUAAUUAAAAUAUUGUUACAGAAAACCUUUCUGAGAACAAGUAUGCCAUUAAUUACUUUGUCUAACAGGAGCUUGUUCUGUCUGAUUUAUCUCAUCCAUGAUAAACAGCUCCCAAGCAGAGGCCAAGGGACCUGACAGCACCUGAAUUUCCUGCACACUGAAGGAGAAGGAAAAUGAAACCACUGCUUCUCAGUGAGGUUAGUGCUGCAGUAAUAAUAUUCAAGAAAUGGACCUCAGUGUUUACCUUCCCAGCAACUGAUGCCAAAAACACCCCCUAUAUCUUUAGCAGUGCCACGGACAGGUUUUACCCAUCCUGUUCAUAAACUAAAGGACUUACAGAGUGUUUUCAUGAAAGAAAGCUGCUCAUUUGGUUAAAUGGCCCACUUCAGUCUCACAGCACCUCACUUUGGCUGCAUGACUCAAAGACCCAGCCCUCUGUGUUGUGAGGGCUAUUUAUCUGCAAAUGGGGAGUUGUGUAUAGCUAAACCUAUAUGAUGCAAAGGGAGAAAAAAAUCAAGUAAUGGUUAAAAGGCAAAAAGUAAGAUAAAAGACCCGUCAGUCAAUCAAUCAAGUUCUACACUCAUUUACAUACCUCAGUGAUGCAUAGCAGGGAAGUUGUCUGUGGUUUGAAGCUAGGAGAUCUUUCAAAAAGUCACAGGCACAUUGUAAGGCCUUGAUUCUAACCCCAUUCUUCGCUUCCAUGGUUUUAGGCACAGCAAGCGUUUUGACAUUCAGUGCUGAAGAGAAGCUAAGGUUCCCCUUCCAGUCAGGGCAAGUAAUCUAAAUGGCCCAUUGCUUCUUCACACAGCUGCAUCCCAGGUUCAGGUCACCUGCUGGGGGAACACAGGUGGCAAAAACCAAACUUCCAUUUUCUGCACUUCAGGCUGGCAGACUUUUUGUUAGUGUUCAUUUUACAGACGCCUUCUUUUAUUGUGGGUGUGGAGUUUUUUUGUUUGGUGUUAGUUUUUCUUGAUUUUUCUUUUUGUUGAGCUUAUAUUACUGUCAGUUGGAAUACUAAUGGACAUCAACAUAAACAUCACCUCCAGGGCUGUUCAAUGAAACUAAGGCAGAUUGUCUUGAAAUUAGCUUGAGUCAUAUCUGAAAAUUGCCAGUGAUUAGCUGAUUAUGGUUUGAAAUGAAGUCAGAUUGCUACAAAAAGCCACAAAAAGUCAUCCCCAGAUAUAUUCUAGAAAAUGAGGCCUUGGCUGCCUCAGUUGUUGCCAGUUCUUGCAUUAGGGAUGAAGGUCUAUUACUACAUCACAUUUAUGGUAGUCAUUUUAAAAUAUGGAUUCUGCCUGAGGAGAAUCAGUCACCUGGGGAAAAUUCUGUCUUUUUACUUUUUAACCUACUCACUAAGGAAAAAAAACCCCAAAAAAACAAAAACAAAAAAAAAAAAAACAAAAACCACAACCAAAUAAAAAGGAGACGUCACAAACAGCAGAACAAAUUAAAAUAGUUUCUCUAUGAGAGAAGCUUGUUCCUCUGUAAAUACAAUUAUUAUAAUUACAGAGUGAUUCAAUCUUGAUGGCUUACUAGAAAUCAUUCCUUCUGUACUGAGAGUAUGUGACAUUUAAAAUAAUUUUCAAUAAAUCAAAGGCCUAGUGUUAACAAUGCUGAUAGAUGCCAGGUUUAUUAAGGACAAAAGAAGGUAUUAUUUUGUCAUAAUUAUAAAGUUCAGUGAGAACUUUUGGUUUGAUUAAAUUCUCCAGAUUUUAGGACUUUGAUGUAAAAAAGAUAGGACCUUGUCAGUUUCCCUGUCCAAAACUACUAAGAUAUUAAUUUGUCACAUGUGUGUCCACAUUCCUCGGAUUUGAAAUAAGUACAAUUCCUUUUCAUGAAAAUAAGCAAGUCCUUUAUUUCAAAACUGGUCACUUUUGAGCUGUGUUUCUGCAUGGUUUAUAUGUUGCUCUGCUAUUCAGUGCUUCAUAUUUUUUCUUUUCCCAGAGAAAAUUUCCUUACAAUCUUUACCUGUGAAAAUGUAUUUGCGCUCCAGUCCUUGUUGCACUACCAAGCAUAUUGCCCAGGGAAAUAUUCUAAUAGUAUCUAUAAGCCAGGAGUCAUAUUAAAUUCCCAUAAAAGUGGGCAACAGGAUGUCCAUGCCAUGCCAUUUCUAGCAGGUUUUUGAUUAAAAUACUCACAAUUGGUUCUCAUUUCUUUUUAGUGCAUAUUUGACUUCCCACCAGAAAAAUAAAUUCUUACUUGGUAUCUCUGAUGAUGUGGGAGAAUGUUAAUGAGGUCCUGUGCUGGAAGCACUUACCUGGGGUGGGGAUUAGGGAAAUAACAAAGACCCUGGCACAGCUCUGGAAGCCUCAUGGGACCAGCAGCUGGACACCAGCAGCUCAGACCCAGUGGCAGCCACAGCUGGAGGGACACAGAGCAGCCAGCCCUGCCCCAAACCCUGCUCUGUGCCAGGCAGCAGCAGGACAGAGCAGGGGCUCGGUGCUGUCACCCACCACAGCGCACCUGGCUGCACAUGCACAGCUCUAACAGUGCCAGGAAAGAGAAACUGGAAAAUGCCAGGCUCCAUGUCAGGCUCAAUUUUCACCAGUUCCAGACCUGAUCUUGAAGGCUCAAGGGGCUUAACAGGGAGGGGGUGACAACUGCUCAUGACAGUAAAUGGUGUUCUCAAAGGAGAGCAACACAUGUUCAGGAUCACAGAAAGAACCACAGGCUUGGUGACACCUAACUGAUGAAAAGAUGAUUAUUUUUCAGAUAUAAAAAAGAAUGGCUGAGGAAAUUCUGUGACAGAAAUGAACAUGGAAAACAUUUAUCCUCAGCCCCCAGACAGAUUUUUAUAAGCAAAGGCUGCCUCUGUAACCUCUAUAAUGACCAGGAAAAGCCAUACCUCCGAGCCAGCUGUAGGGCAGCUUCAGCACAGUGCAAACAAACAACAACAGAAUAAAGGAAAACUGAUAUGAGCAAUCCUGUGCUGGGCACAGGGCACAAAGACAAGCCAUCAUUAGGCAAUACAUAAACCUCUGCUUCACUUAUGUCAAGGCUGCUGCUUGCUGUGCUGCUUUCCUCCCUCUUUACCAUCUCAUAAAAGGGUGUAGAGAAACAAAAGGAGGUUCAAAGGAUGGUCAGAUAUCAACUAGCUUCUCCUUGAUGGACCGAGUGAACAGGACUUGGAAGAGGAUAAUAAAAUCAGCCUUGGGCAAGGUGUGUGUCAGGAUCAGUCAUUCCAAUCUCUAAAGCAGUGGUUAAAAACAUAGAAGAAUAUAAGCAAAUGGUUGCUAGUUUCAAAACAAACAAGAGUAAGUAUUUCUUCUCCUGGUGUGGUGAAUUUACACUGAGAAAACCUCUGCUUUCCAAUGUCAGUUGAAAGGCUACAGAGUCAAAAGCAAACAAGACACAUCCAUGGAGAAAAACAAAAACCACGUAGGACACAGAAGCCAAAAGAUGGCAACUGUGGCUCAGAAAUUAGUUACCAUAAACUCUUAAUGGACAGUAGAGCACUCUGGGGACAUCAGUGUCCUUGCCUUAUUCCUCAGCUCAUAUUCAGGUGUGUGCUGGAGAUCUGAUGAGGGACAUGGGCUAAGGCAGCCUGGCCAGCAAAUGAAAGGGUUUAAAAAUAUUCAGGUUGCUCUUACAAUUAAAGUCUGCUAGCAUGGAAUCUGUGCUUGAUGAUACAAGAUUUGAGAAGAAAUAUAUAAUGUCUGUGCUGUUAAAAGUACCAGGUGGACUUCUUUAAAAAACAUUUUAUAAAUGUGUUCAUGCUACUUAAUACUAAAACAGAAUUCUAACCUUAGUUAUGCAGGAUGUAUUGCCUCUCUGUCUGCUUGCAAACAAGAGUGACUAAUUAUUUAGGCUUUAUGAAUAACUAAAAUUAUUAGAAUCUCUCAUGUUAUAGUCAAGAAAAUGUGACUAUCCUCCAGUCUUCAUUUUUAAGAAAUUAUUUUUAAAAUUAUCGCUUUUAUUUUCUACAUGCUCUCAAAAGUUUCAAGGUCCAUGCAAGAGACACCACAAAACCCCAAAAUCAGAAAACCUGUAUCUAGAAUGUAAGCAUCUGUCUUUUAAAAAGCUAAAGACCUGCUACAAAGAUGAAUCUGACAUUCCCAGCCCUUUCAGCACCACGGUGGCAAUCAACUGGCACUCAAUUUUAUCAGUUCCUCAUUUAAAAUUUAAGUUUUUGCAUGCAAGGUACCCUUAGUGCCUUAGGACUCUGAAAUUACCUACACAACCCCCUGUAUAAUUAGAACAGAUGCAUAAAAUUCACACCUAGCUCCAUGCAAAUCAAAGAAAGGAUGUAUUACUUUGGUAGACUCUCUUCCCCUAGUGAGUUUCCUUCAUUAUCUCAUUAAACAUUAGAGAAGUAAAAGAGACAGUCUGAGAAAUCUCAGGUCAUAUAGAAAGCACAUUCAUUUUUGUGGUACUUCCAGAGGUGGUGGCCAGCUCCAGAAACUCCUCUGCCCAGCCAGGACACUGCAAACAAAUCCCCAUGGAAAUCCCUUCCCUGUGCAGUGCUGGGCUGGGCUCGCAGUGGUGGCAGCACUAAAAAAACUGAGGAGUUGAGAACUCCCAACACCAGCAUCCAGCUCAGCUCUUCUGUCAGUACCAAUCACCUUUACCUUGACAACUAAACCAGGAUGGCAGUCAUUUGGAAAGCUUAAAUAUUUAAUUUAGGAACAAUAGUAGGUGAUUUAAAUAAUUCAAUUCAAAGGAACACUGAGACAAGCCCACAAUACCAGAAGGGUUUCUUUCUGUCUGACAUCACUGUGCACAUUCACUACAGGAGCACCUGCAGCUGUUAGCUCAAGUCACUUCUCCCCACACCUACACACCCAAAAAUACACUCAGACUCAAAUAAUUAGCAGCCAACAAAUGAUUUUGAUUUGAACAUUGUUGAUGUCUGCUUAAAAGCAUGAUUUUAACAUAAACUACUUAUAUAUCUUAACUAUUUCAAUGUGCCUAAUUAUUAUUUCUUAAAUAACUACUACCAAUUAGGUAAUUCAUAUUUAGGAUCAUGAACACUUAGCUUUUGUGAAGCAAAACACCCCAGGUUACAUUGGCUGUGUGGAAUUUUGGACCUCUGCUGUGACAUGGGCACAGAGCUGUCACUUUAGCUGCCUGAAGGAGAGCUUUUGUUAAGGAGAGCCCCCAUUUGAAAUAUUGGAUUUCAGAUCAAAUGUCACAACAAAAGCACAACAGCGAGGCAAAGCCCUGACCUCCAAAGUUGUCCAAUGCAUUAAGAGAUACUGCACCUUUGAUAAAAAUCCUACAUUAAUCUAACAUUCUUGCAUAAACUUGAUUUUAUAUGCUAAGCAUAUUAACUUUCAAUAGUCGAAACAGUGUUGUUGGCAGUCUCUGUUUGAUUGGGGAAAUAGACGUCUAGCAUCCAUGCUGGUUCUUAUAUUUCUCACCUUGCUGUAAAGCUGUUGGGGUUCCCAGGAGGCCUCUCUGACACUCCACAUGGCUCAGAUGUCCACCAAGCCUGGUGGAGGCUGUGAGCCUGGGGCUCAUCUGUUCCUGUCAGUGCAAUCCCAGGUCCUGCCCCUGGAAAAGUGCAGACUGCAGGUCUGUGGAAAGGGGAAGGAGGCUGCUUCUUUCCCUGCUGCUCAUCAACACUGCACCCCAAGCAGCAGCCCUGUCCCCAGACACUUGGCAAAGCUGCCUCAAGAAUUAUUUCUGUUCUCUUCCCCCUAGGAAACAACCCUUUGUUCUAUCAACUUAUUGGGUAUUUGACUUUAUAUUCACUUAAGUUCUCUGAGAAAGAACAAGUGAUGAAAGUGCCUUUUGGAGGAACAUCAAAUGCAUUUCUUGAUGAAUUGCAAACUGGUAAACUACUUGGAAGCUUUUGAAAUGUGAAAUCUAUUACACCUUUCAAUGAAAUAAUUCCGUAACAUACUGUACUUUUUUCCCCCUUGAAAGAUGGCAAACGCAAAAACUCACCUGUUACUGACUGGAGCUUGUGUUUCUCAGUGGGUGUUUGUGUUUUCAAUUCUAUUUUAUGUAGGAUCUCAAGCCACCAAUUAAACACAACGCACCAAACUCAUCAGUGCACAUCCAAAUAACUGCUAAUAAACAAUUUUUUCUCUGAGAUGAAUAUAUGGACCCUUUUUCCUGGGAUCAAGGGCUCACUCAUCCUGCACUCCAUUCCUUAAUGCAGAUGAGCUCACACCUUCCAGGAAUUAGCCACAACCCUGGUGGCAACUGCAGUGCAGACCCUGGACUAUAAUUUUUUGUUAAAAUUAAAACAUUGUUUGUUGUCACCCUUAAAUACAAAUAAAUAAAUAUGUCUAAGCCUAGCUUAGCUGGAAGAUGUGACCUUAUGAUGACUAAAUGGCUAUAAAAAAAAAUUAUGAGCAAUUUUCUGAAGUAGAUGGAGAAAUUUAUCACUUUUCAGCUUCUCUUGUGAAUAAAAUUCAGCCUGAUAUAGAGACAAUCCAGGUAAGAGAUUAGAACCUCAGCUCUAACAACUUCUACCUAAAGGAUAAUGACAAAUGUUCUUAACCUUACAGUCAACGAGGUCUUUACACA